UGUAUCUGAAGCCUGACGAGGAUGAGAACCUCCGGGGGCAAGAGGUUCGACCCGAGCGAAGCGAGAGAACGUUGCGUCAGCAACGGCCCGCAGGGCGA
rnacentral:sRNA from 2 species